UAGGGAAUCUUGCGCAAUGGGCGAAAGCCUGACGCAGCGACGCCGCGUGUGGGAUGAAUGCCUUCGGGUUGUAAACCACUUUCAGCAGGGACGAAGCCUCACGGUGACGGUACCUGCAGAAGAAGCCCCGGCUAACUACGUG
rnacentral:rRNA from 1 species